GUGCUCACUUUGGCAGCACGUAUACUAAAACAAGAGCAAUACAGAGGAGAUUAGCAUGGUACCUGGGACAGGUUGGCAUGAUUAUUCUGAUAUUCUGAUUAUUCUG
ensembl:snRNA U6 U6 spliceosomal RNA